rnacentral:rRNA from 1 species
UACGGAGGGGGCUAGCGUUGUUCGGAAUACUGGGCGUAAAGCGCGCGUAGGCGGACCUGCAAGUCGGGGGUGAAGCCCGAGGCUCAACCUCGGAACUGCCUUCGAUACUGCGGGUCUCGAGUCCGGGAGAGGUGAGUGGAAUUCCUAGUGUAGAGGUGAAAUUCGUAGAUAUUAGGAAGAACACCAGUGGCGAAGGCGGCUCAGCUGGCCCGGUACUGACGCGUGAG